GUUCGUGAGGUGUAGUCGCGGCAACCAGGAGGUGGGCGUGUGGUAACGCGGCGCGCGGGAGGGUGGCUUGAAAGGGUCUUUAUGAACCCUAGGGAAAGGCCGUCUGGUAGGAACUCCAUUUCAAGACCUUUUAAAGUGAGACCUGCAUAUGUUGAAAGAGUUUCAGAGAGUGAAGCUGGGUUCUUAGAAGCUGGAAUGUCCCAGCAGAAUGUAGAAAUGCGAAAAAUUCGGCACAGUAGUCUAAACAGGUGCACCCACCACUAGAAUUUGAACAUCCUAAGAACAGGUAUUUUUGUCUCUGCUUUGCUGAUGUAUCCUCAGCAACCGGAACUGCCUGACAUCUGAUCCUUUCUGUGAGACACCAGGCUGUUGAGGAAGAAUCUAUGGCAACAUUGUAUCUAUUAAUAUACAGCUUCUGUAUUUAUCAGGAAAUCCUGGGUGAAAUUUGGUAGUGGGUCCAAUUGCCUGCGUACUUUACUUUGAAAUAAAAUAAUCAGAAAUUUACCUUGUUCCAUAA
rnacentral:lncRNA from 1 species